CCUACGGUGGCAGCAGUGGGGAAUAUUGGACAAUGGGCGAAAGCCUGAUCCAGCCAUGCCGCGUGUGUGAAGAAGGCCUUCGGGGUGUAAAGCACUUUCAGUGGGGAAGAAAGCCUUGGGGCUAAUACCCUCGAGGAAGGACAUCACCCACAGAAGAAGCACCGGCUAACUCCGUGCCAGCAGCCGCGGUAAUACGGAGGGUGCGAGCGUUAAUCGGAAUUACUGGGCGUAAAGCGCGCGUAGGCGGUCUGAUAAGCCGGUUGUGAAAGCCCCGGGCUCAACCUGGGAACGGCAUCCGGAACUGUCAGGCUAGAGUGCAGGAGAGGAAGGUAGAAUUCCCGGUGUAGCGGUGAAAUGCGUAGAGAUCGGGAGGAAUACCAGUGGCGAAGGCGGCCUUCUGGACUGACACUGACGCUGAGGUGCGAAAGCGUGGGUAGCAAACAGGAUUAGAUACCCGUGCAGUC
rnacentral:rRNA from 1 species